CCCUUAGAUGUUCUGGGCUGCACGCGCGCUACACUGAAGCGUUCAACGAGUAUUCACCUUGCCCGGGAGGGUUGGGUAAUCUUUUGAAAACGCUUCGUGAUGGGGAUAGAUUAUUGCAAUUAUUAAUCUUCAACGAGGAAUUCCUAGUAAGCGCGAGUCAUCAGCUCGUGCUGAUUACGUCCCUGCCCUUUGUACACACCGCCCGUCGCACCUACCGAUUGAAUGGUCCGGUGAAGGCUUCGGAGGCGGCUUUCUCAAUGUUUAUUCGGCGAGACUGCUGCCAAAGUUGAAUGAACCUUACCAUUUAGAGGAAGGUGAAGUCGUAACA
rnacentral:rRNA from 1 species